rnacentral:rRNA from 1 species
AUUGAACGCUGGCGGCAGGCUUAACACAUGCAAGUCGAGCGGGGUGAUGGUGCUUGCACUAUCACUUAGCGGCGGACGGGUGAGUAAUGCUUAGGAAUCUGCCUAUUAGUGGGGGACAACAUCUCGAAAGGGAUGCUAAUACCGCAUACGUCCUACGGGAGAAAGCAGGGGAUCACUUGUGACCUUGCGCUAAUAGAUGAACCUAAGUCGGAUUGGCUAGUUGGUGGGGUAAAGGCCUACCAAGGCGACGAUCUGUAGCGGGUCUGAGAGGAUUGUCCGCCCCACUGGGACUGGGACACGGCCCAGACUCCUACGGGAGGUAGCAGUGGGGAAUAUUGGACAAUGGGGGGAACCCUGAUCCAGCCAUGCCGCGUGUGUGAAGAAGGCCUUAUGGUUGUAAAGCACUUUAAGCGAGGAGGAGGCUACUUUAGUUAAUACCUAGAGAUAGUGGACGUUACUCGCAGAAUAAGCACCGGCUAACUCUGUGCCAGCCGCCGCCGUAA